rfam:Clostridium proteolyticum DSM 3090 genome assembly, contig: EJ39DRAFT_scaffold00032.32
AGUGAAUAAAUAGUGUUUCCGCAGACAGUAGGUGCUGAAAAGCGUAAGUCAAUCGCCUACCGAGGAAGAUUUAUAUAUGUGAGUAUAUAGUCUCUUCGUAUUCUGCGGAGGGACUUUUAAUUUAUAGAA